UCUACAGGGGCUAAAUAUUGCCAACUAAAUAACCAAUAUACAUUUCUUUGUAUCUAGCUUUUAGUACAAGUCGUCUAAGGAUUUAUCAUGGGCUUUGUAAGUCGCUUUCUUGUCUUCUCUCUUCACUCUUUUUUUUUUGAAAUGGUAAGGUAUUAUAAAUAUAAAAAAAUCAGCACCAAGAGAGUGUUGUGGUUACAUCCCAGAAAACAAAAACAAAAAAAACCCCUCUAUGUCUAUACAAAAGAGACUAUGAAUUCUAGUAGGGUUUCACUAUCAUCUAUCCAAUCCUGUUUACACCAAAAAGAUAUCAACAAAAUGCAGUCUGAUUUGAUCUUCAAGAAUGAAGUCUCCUGUCCUUUAAAGCAUCUCCUAUUCCUUUCUUUCCAUAUGCACCACCAAAUAGCUGCUGGGUGGUCGCUUUGCCUGCCAAUCUGGAUUUCAUGAUCUUUAAUCACCACGGAAAGAUAUUUCCUCUGGAAGCUGACUUGAAAUUGAAGUGAUGGGUUGGAUUAAUCCGGCAGUCAGGAAGUCAACAAAUCAUCACCCUCCAAACCAGCCCCAUCUUUCGCUAUUAUUCUUAGAGAGGAUUGUAUUAGAUAGUUUUGAUAUUGAACUGAUUCGAUUACUUGAGCAGCAGUAAUUGAUAUUUGGAAUGUACUUGUUAGAGAGCAGACAGGAAAAACGUUACACUCA